rnacentral:lncRNA from 1 species
AGUUCCGGUCACGUUGCUGGGUGUUUACGCCCGGAGCCUGCCCCGGGCCCCCCACCUGCGCCCCGGAGCCCCCCGAGCCCUGGCGUCCACCCCCCACAGCCUCGCAGCAGUUGAUGGCGCCGCAGCCUGGCCGCGCUCUGCGGAUCCAUGAGAGCAGCUAACGCGGGAGAAGAGCUCUUCCCGAGACCCAGCGAGGCCCGGGCCGGGCCCGGCGGCUCUCUCGGGUCCGCAGGUGGGGCCCAGGCCUGGGUUACCAUGGAUACCGUGUCCCUGGAGCAUCAGAUCCAGAGCGUACAACGCCACAUCAGCUUCCUGAAAAAGGAGCAGAUGGCCCUGCUUCGAGACCUGCACCUGGAGAUCCUGAGGCUGCAGAAGCGAUGCUCAGAGCUGACCCACGAUCUGGAGAUGAGAGAGGUCCAGUCUCACCAGCAAGGUAAG